rnacentral:SRP_RNA from 1 species
CGCACUAGUCGGGGAGAUAGCGGUGCCCUGUCGCCCGCAAUCCGCUACAGCGGGGAUGAAUCCCUGCACCAGGGUUUACGUUGUGUUGUCUGUCCGGAUAAGCGGUGUUGAGGAAUCGGUCUCGCGCAACGGAGCCCCGUGAACCAUGUCAGGCGGGGAACCGAGCAGCAUUAAGCGGUCAGCUUCGUGUGCCGCGAGUCAGCCGUUUCUGAGCUGGCUGUUCGGGAAA